rnacentral:rRNA from 1 species
GUGGGCUUCUUCUCUAGGUACCGUCAGUCUGUUCCGUUAGGAACAGGUUUUCUUCCCUAUCGAAAGAGGUUUACAACCCGAAGGCCUUCAUCCCUCACGCGGCGUCACAUAGUCAGGGUUUCCCCCAUUGCUAAAUAUCCUCGACUGCAGCCUCCCGUAGGAGUUGGGGCAGUGUCUCAGUCCCCAUGUGGCUGACCACCCUCUCAGGCCAGCUACCCGUCAAAAGCCUUGGUAGGCCAUUACCCUACCAACUAGCUGAUAGGACGCGAGCUCAUCUCUAAACAAAAACCCUUGCGGGCCUUCUUUACUUACAGCUGCUUAUGCAACCGUAAACACAUCGGGUAUUACCCUCGCUUUCACAAGGCUAUCCCCGACUUAGAGGUAAAUUACUCACGUGUUACUCACCAGUCUGCCGCUAUAUCUUUCUUCCAUCGACAGAUCAGCCUUGCGGCUUCACCAUUUUCAAGAAAAAAGUAUCGCUCGACUUGCAUGCCUAAUCUACGCCGCCAGCGUUCACUCUGAGCCAUGAUCAAACUCUAAUCGAAUUCCCGCGGCCGCCAUGGCGGCCGGGAGCAUGCGACGUCGGGCCCAAUUCGCCCUAUAGUGAGUC